CUUGAACGAGCCGAGCCACAGCGGCUCCCCGCCGUCGCGGUCCUGGCCGUAGGUGGCGAGCAGGGCGUGCGCCUC
rnacentral:antisense_RNA from 3 species